rnacentral:rRNA from 1 species
UACGUAGGGACCAAGCGUUGUUCGGAUUUACUGGGCGUAAAGGGCGCGUAGGCGGCGUGUUAAGUCAGCUGUGAAAUCUCCGAGCUUAACUCGGAACGGUCAGCUGAUACUGAUGUGCUAGAGUGCAGAAGGGGCAAUCGGAAUUCUUGGUGUAGCGGUGAAAUGCGUAGAUAUCUGGAGGAACACCGGUGGCGAAGGCGGCGUUCUGGACUGUUUCUGACACUGAGAGACGAAAGCCAGGGGAGCAAACGGG